UACAGAGGUCCCAAGCGUUGUUCGGAUUCACUGGGCGUAAAGGGCUUGUAGGUGGCCAACUAAGUCAGACGUGAAAUCCCUCAGCUUAACUGGGGAACUGCGUCUGAUACUGGAUGGCUUGAGUUUGGGAGAGGGACGCGGAAUUCCAGGUGUAGCGGUGAAAUGCGUAGAUAUCUGGAGGAACACCGGUGGCGAAGGCGGCAUCCUGGACCAACACUGACGCUGAGUGAGCGAAAGCUGGGGGAGCGAACAGG
rnacentral:rRNA from 1 species